UACGUAGGUGGCAAGCGUUGUCCGGAUUUACUGGGCGUAAGGGGCGUGCAGGCGGUCUGUUAAGUCUAGGGUGAAAGCUCCCGGCUCAACUGGGAGAGGUCCUUGGAUACUGGCGGACUUGAGGGAGGCAGAGGAAAGUGGAAUUCCCGGUGUAGUGGUGAUAUGCGUAGAUAUCGGGAGGAACACCAGUGGCGAAGGCGGCUUUCUGGGCCUUACCUGACGCUGAGGAGCGAAAGUGUGGGGAGCGAACAGG
rnacentral:rRNA from 1 species